AUUUCCAAUAAAAACGUGUCAGUGUUAUGGACGUGUUAUAUUGCCAGCAUUAAUUAUAGGCUAUCACUUAAUAAAUCGCGAUUGCUGUCAUUAAUAUUGUUUGUGCCAAUUUCUUUUCAACCCAAUGUUUCAGUGACUAAAAUUAUUUAUGCAUGUUGUAAGUUAUCCUCCGCUGUGGAAAAUGCCAAUAGCGUGGAUCCUAAACGUUGGUACCUUUUGGUAUUUAAUAUUGCAUCUUUAUUUCAUCCUUCUUUGUUUCCCAGGCCGGUUUACAAUUUAGUAUGAAGUCAUAUUGAUUAUAAACACUAUUUUAAUGAAUCUAAUUUGACUGUUCGUCUAUCUAAAUUUGCUGACAAGUGUAGAAUGUAGAAUUGUAUAAAGGUAUUUAAAUGCAGUUGAAACUCUUGCCGUGUAGUGGGCUGAAGUCUGAGGUUGUCGAAACUGCGCGAGGGAAUCAGCGAUAUGCGCAAAAGACCGACUUUCAUUAAACUAUUUAGAUCACAAAACCAAAUCAAACAGGAUAAACUGUGGAGCAUUUGAGAAAUAUACACAAUUUCUUUUCGAAAAGAGGAGAAGACAAACCAAAUUCACAGAAGAGCAAAAGAUAAUAUUAUUAUUUCAGUGAAAUGCUAGCCAUCGGGGCAGUAUAACGUCAAAAUGAAUAGAAACAUUAUUUAUGGAGUUAUAAUUUGAUUGUUGAAAAAAAAAACGAUACCGCCGAAUACUUGCCGUUUGCUGACCAAUGUGGAGUGUAGAAUCGUAUAAAGGUGUUUCAAUUCGCUGAUAGAAGAGGAGAUUCUGACUACAAAGAUUUAGAGAGGAUUAAUGAGAGGCAUAAAAACCGAUACAGGCGAUUCCCUGCUCGUCUAUCUAUGCAUGCUGACCAACGUAGUAUAACGGUGUUUCAAAUCAUUGAUGGAAGAGGAGAUUCUGAUUACAAAGAUUUGGAGAAGAAUAAUGAGAUACAUAAAAACCGAUACAGGCGAUUCCCUGCUUGUCUAUCUAUGUAUGCUGACCAACGUAGAAUGUAGAUUUGUAUAACGGUGUUUCAAUUCACUGAUGGAAGAAAAGAUUCCAACAAAAAAGAUUUGGAGAAGAAUAAUGACAUGCAGAGUCAGCGAUACGAGCAAAAGACCGACUUUCAUUAAACUGUGGAGCAUUAGAGAAAUAUACAAAAAUUCUUUUAGAAAAGAGGAGAAGACAAACCAGAUUCAGAGAAGAGAAAAAGAUAAUAAGACUAUUUCAGUAAAAUGUGAGUUUGCUGUUGUAUUUAGGCUAUUUUGUAACUAUUGAAACGCUAAUGAAGUAAACAAGAUUGAGAUCAAAGAUCUUUUGAGUAAGUUCGCGUGACUUGGCUUUGAGCAAAUUUACAAUGAAAACGUGUCAGUGUUAUGGUCGUGUUAUAUUGCCAGCAAUAAUUAUAGGCUAUCACUUACUAAAUCGCAAUUGCUGUCAUUAACAUUGUUUGUGCCAAUUUUUUUUCAACCCAAUGUUUCAGUGACUAAAAUUAUUUAUGCAUGUUGUAAGUUAUCCUCAGCUGUGGAAAAUGCCAAUAGCGUGGAUCCUAAACGGAAUCAGCGAUUUGCGCAAAAGACCGACUUUCAUUAAACUAUUUAGAUCACAAAACCAAAUCAAACAGGAUAAACUGUGGAGCAUUUGAGAAAUAUACACAAAUUCUUUUCGAAAAGAGGAGAAGACAAACCAGAUUCACAGAAGAGCAAAAGAUAAUAUUAUUGUUUCAGUGAAAUGCUGGCCAUCGGUUCAGUAUGACGUCAAAAUGAAUAGAAACAUAUGUAUGGAGUUAUAAUUUGAUUGUUGAAAAAAAAACGAUACCGCCGAAUACUUGCCGUUUGCUGACCAAUGUGGAGUGUAGAAUCGUAUAAAGGUGUUUCAAUUCAUUGAUAGAAGAGGAGAUUCUGACUACAAAGAUUUAGAGAGGAUUAAUGAGAGGCAUAAAUACCGAUUACAGGCGAUUCCCUGCUCGUCUAUCUAUGUAUGGUGACCAACGUAAAAUGUAGAUUGUAUGAUGAUGUUUCAAUUCAUUGAUGGAAGAGGAGAUUCUGACUACAAAGAUUUGGAGAAGAAUAAUGACAUACGUAAGUUUUUGAGACGUACGAUAUUUUCGACAAUAACCCUGUUUAAAGAAUCUUCUUAUUCACAUUGAAAAGCAAUUAUAUAUUAACGUUAUGUUUUGUUCGAAAUCAAAUUAUUGACUAAAAUACUCAUGUCUGUAGCUUCAGAUACUGGUAUUUUUCCAAAUGCAUUACUUUCCAAGUUGAAGUAGUC